UACGAAGGGGGCUAGCGUUGUUCGGAAUUACUGGGCGUAAAGCGCGUGUAGGCGGUUAUCCAAGUCGGGUGUGAAAGCCUUGAGCUCAACUCAAGAAAUGCACUCGGUACUGGGUGACUAGAGGACCGGAGAGGAUAGUGGAAUUCCCAGUGUAGUGGUGAAAUAGCGGCAGAUAUCAGGAGGAACAGCCAAUGGACGAAGGCAGCUCGGCUGGGACGUCGAC
rnacentral:rRNA from 1 species